rnacentral:lncRNA from 1 species
AUGCAACAGCCCAAAAGGCGUGAAGGCCCAUGCAACCUGCUGGAUUCUGGGCAAUGCCUGAGCUCCAUGUCGUAUGUUUUCCCAAUUCUUAGGAGAGUAUGGUUAGUGGGUUUCCAUUUGUACCUCUUUAUAAGAUGAGUUAUUUUGUUAUGGAAUAUUAAGCAGGAAAAUUGUCCCAAUCUUUCCUCUCAGAUUCUUCUAAUUCUUUCUUCCUCAAUCUCUAAAUCGCUAACCGAUCGGUCCACACCACUGAGUUUGAAGGUGGUGAAGGGUUUGGGUCUGCCAAUCAGUGACGUAUGAGCAAGGGGGUGUUUGGUCUGCCAAUCGGUGAUGUAUGAGCAAGAUUUCACAAGAUCUAAAGACGGCUUGGUGUGUAGUGUUAAAUCCGACGACUAGGGUUCCGGUGAUAGAAUUCUCAAGCUGAGCGGUGGCAAUAGAGACGAGUUCCCGGUUGUAGAUGGUGGUUGAGGUAGGUUCCGACAAAAUGAGGUUGUUGAAAGCUAUGAGCGAACUUAUAGUAAUAUGGUUCGUGUUCGCCAAUUGUCUGAGUUAGAGGAGGCCCGUUCAUAUUGCCACCAACAAAGUAUGUGCCAGUAAAGUAUGUUGAACAUAUAUACGUUCAGAGGUGAUCUUUUGGACUAUCUCAAUGACUUCGGACUCAGUUUUAUUCUACAGUUAUGCAGAUACAUCGUUCAAGGUUUGAGAGAGUAGGAAGAUGGAGCCGAAUGGGCUUAUGGUUACUCGCCAAGAGUCCAAUCGCUGGUCAAAUCUGUCUUGCAAGGUUUGGGUUUUAUCAGAAACCCUGGAAACAAGGCCACUGCUUCAGUUUCGAAAAGGUUUAAGCUACAGUUCAGAAAUAAGAUUGCCUUGUCGGUCUACACUGGGAGCGUCUUUUAGGCGAGCAUGAAUCGUCCAUUGAAAUACCCUUGGUUGAUGCUCGGAGUGACCAGAUAGUGGAUAUCGGGCCUGAAUCUGUUGCAAAACUGAAAAUACUGGGAUUUUGAGUUGGUGACGGUAACGAUGACGGUAGUUGGGCAUACGAACACUUUCAAGAAACCAUUAUGAGCGAACGAGAAGGGAAACGAAGAAUGCUUCAAGGAAAUACUUGUUUGCAGCUAAACAAAGGCGUUUGUUAUGUUCGUAACAAGAUUUCUUUUACUCAUAGUGCGGAACAUACUAGAAAUAGUCUGUACAGACUGGUGGCAGUAGUUGUGGAUGCUGAUUUGAUGAAUGGAGUGGAAGUAGCAACGACGGAAGCAUUUGUCAUGAAGGACCGGCGUUAUAUCUAUCACAAAAACAUGUGUGCCCCUCUUUAUCAGAUAAGGUGUGCUAUUUAAAGCAGAUCGGCUAUAAGGGUCCUCGCUAUACACGUCUGAAAGACACAAAUGUCUGCACUUUGAAGGAUUUGUUGAGACUACUCUACACGAAUCCAAAACGGCAUGAAGAGAUUCUUGAGCUAAAAGCCUCUUGCAAGUUUUGGGACGAAAUUGUAAAAAGCGCACAAGCAUCAAAUGGAACAUUUUUGUACCUCGAUCCUAGAGACGAACAAAAAACCGGCGUUGUUCUUGAUGUUAAACUGCAAUUGAAGGUGUUGAUAGUAGAACCUCAUCGGUACAUCAGCCAGUGCCACAUCAGCAAUGUUUAUGGGAAUGAUUUCAAUAUUCAUAGGAAUUUCAUUACUGGCACAUGAUGACUCGAAAGCCGUAAACGCGCCGUUAAACGGCUGCAAACGCGGCAGCAAACGGGUGCAAAAACGCAGCUGUUUGCAGCCGUUUAACGACGCGUUUACGGCUGCAAACGCAGCACCAAACGGGUGUAAAAAGCGCAGCCGUUUGCUGCCGUAAACCGCUGCAAACGGGUGCAAAAAUGCAGCCGUUUAACGGCUGCAAACGCAGCACCAAAUGGGUGUAAAAACGCAGCAAGAACGCGAACUAGCUGUCGACAAGACCAAAUUCACUAACGUCUUCGUUAAAAACCUCUCCGAAUCAACAACCGAUGAGGAUUUACAAAAGUCGUUUAGUGAAUAUGGAACGAUCACCAGUGCGGUUGUGAUGAGGGACGCUGACGGUAACUCCAAAUGCUUUGGUUUGUUAACUUUGAGAGUAUCGAAGAUGCUGCUAAAGCUGUAGAAGGCCUUAACGGACAAAAGUUUGAUGAAAAAGAAUGUUUUGUCGGGAAAGCGCAAAAAAAAGAAUGAACGGGAACUGGAGUUGAAACAGAAGUUUGAGCAGAGUAUGAAGGAGGCGGUGGACAAAUCACAGGGGUUAAACUUGUAUGUAAAAAAAUUAGAUGAUACGGUGACCGAUGAAAGUCUCAGGGAGUACUUUGCGCCUUUCGGUACUAUAACUUCCUGCAAGGUCAUGAGAGAUCCUAACGGGACUAGCAAAGCUAAUGUAUAUGUUUCAUAGCUUCCUUCAAUAGAAGUUCAGAAGACUUCAAGGUUCAAAGUGAGAAGUAAGCAAGACAAGAGUAAAGUUUGAAAUGAUGAUGAUAGUGUUAGCUGUUUGCUGCAGUGUCUUGUUCAUGUGAACAAGUUGGAUUGAAAAAGAGACUAUUGUUGUAUUUUGAUGGGAGAAAUGAAUAUGUAAAACUGUUUUUAUAACCGAAUUUCCUUGUGAUGGUAUAGUGUUUACAAAUUGUGGGAAUAUCAAGUUUAGUAUUAUCAAGUAUUAACCCUUCUUUGCU